GAUGAACGCUGGCGGCGUGCCUAAUACAUGCAAGUCGAGCGAACAGACGAGGAGCUUGCUCCUCUGACGUGAGCGGCGGACGGGUGAGUAACACGUGGAUAACCUACCUAUAAGACUGGGAUAACUUCGGGACACCGGCGCUUAUACCGGAUAAUAUACUGCACCGCAGGGUGCAAUAGUGAAAGACGGUGUUGCUGUCACUUAUAGAUGGAUCCCGGCCGGAUUAGCUAGUAGGUAAGGUAACGGCUUACCAAGGCGACGAUGCGUAGCCGACGGGAGAGGCGGGUCGGCGACACUGGAGGUGGGACACGGUCAAGAGUCCUACGAGAGGCAGCAGACGGGAAUCUGCCGCAACGGGCGAAAGCCUGACGGAGCAAGGCCGCGUGAGUGAUGAAGGUCUUCGGAGCGUAAAACUCUGUUAUUAGGGAAGAACAGAUGUGUACGGAACUAUGCCCGUAUUGACGGUACCUAAUCAGAAAGCCACGGCUAACUACGUG
rnacentral:rRNA from 1 species